GGAGUUAGCCGGUGCUUCUUCUGUGAGUGAUGUCCUUCCUGCCGGUUAUUGACCCGCAGGCCUUCUUCCUCACUGAAAGUGCUUUACAACCCGAAGGCCUUCUUCACACACGCGGCAUGGCUGGAUCAGGGUUGCCCCCAUUGUCCAAUAUUCCCCACUGCUGCCUCCCGUAGGAGUCUGGGCCGUGUCUCAGUCCCAGUGUGGCUGAUCAUCCUCUCAGACCAGCUACGGAUCGUCGCCUUGGUGAGCCGUUACCUCACCAACCAGCUAAUCCGACAUAGGCUCAUCCGAUAGCGCGAGGCCCGAAGGUCCCCCGCUUUCCCCCGUAGGGCGUAUGCGGUAUUAGCCUGGGUUUCCCCAGGGUUAUCCCCCACUACCGGGCAGAUUCCUAUGCAUUACUCACCCGUCCGCCGCUCGCCACCAGGGAGCAAGCUACCCGUGCUGCCGCUCGACUUGCAUGUGUUAGGCCUGCCGCCAGCGUUCAAUCUGAGCCAGGAUCAAACUCUGA
rnacentral:rRNA from 1 species